AAAUAAUUGAAUUACUCCCUUGACAACAAUUAUUUCAACCACUAUAUGAAACAGCUGAUUUCUAACACGAUGGUGCCAUGAACCGGAUGGACAAGUUUUAAGGAUUCUACUGAACAUCGGCUGGAGAGCUUAGGGGCUCGAUUUGCAAUCACAAGAAAGAAGUAUUUUUUCCCGGUUACUGGUUGCUGAGAACAACUGAACAGUGAGUUGUAAACUACACCAUAGAACUGAAUGUCAAGAUUGCAAAAAGUGUUAGGUAGUCAAACAAGCCCUAUGACAACUUAUCUAGGCCACGUUUUUAUCGUGCGGAAUCUGUCUGCGGGUGCGGACUGUCCGUUUUUAUUUAGUGGGGCGUUGACCGGUGUGUUUCAAUGCUGAACUGUAUUUCGUGUCGCCAUAGUAUAAUGAGACUGAAUUUUUCUUUUGUGGAUUAGUGUGUGAUAUUGUAUUUUUGGGCGAUUAUACAGUGACUUGUACAAGUAAAAAUAUAAUGCAGUCCAGUUGUACAAAUACAACAUGAUGAUGCGUUCAUGUUUAAAAAUCAUGGCGUGAAUAGGACACCAAGAACGAAAAGGAUAAUUAACAACGAUGCCUGGAGUCAAAAUGUACAGAAAGAAAUAUUACGUUUUCCGGCUAAACAAGAUGGAUUCAAGGAAGUUGUAUAUGGACAGAUGGAGAGUGUACAUACAAAUAGAGAAAACAAAGGAAAGUUAAGAUGGCCUAGAAAGGGCAACAGUCUAAAGGCAGGAAAGGAGACAAAGGAGACAAUCAUAAUGGAUGAAGAUUAAUUCUGUUUGACCACCUGGCUGACCGACAGUAGUCUCAAGAUGGAGUCUCUCUUAUAGGACCCUGGAAUCAUGGAAGCUACUAGGAACUGAUGGCCGGGUCGCGGGGGCAGCAGUCUAAGCAGGGAUGCCCACACUUCCCUCUCCCCAGACACUUCCUCUACCUCUUCCGGGGGGACACCGAGGCGUUCCCAGGCCAGCCGGGAGACAUAGUCCCUCCAGCGUGUCCUAGGUCUUCCCCGGGGUCUCCUCCCGGUGGGACGGGACCGGAACACCUUUCCAGGAAGGUGUUCCAGAGGCAUCCGAAACAGAUGCCCAAGCCACCUCAGCUGACCCCUCUCGAUGUGGAGGAGCAGCGGCUCUACUCUGAGCUCCUCCCGGGUGACCGAGAUUCUCACCCUAUCUCUAAGGGAUCGCCCAGCCACCCUGCGGAGAAAGCUCAUUUCAGCCGCCUGUAUCCAGGAUCUUGUCCUUUCGGUCAUGACCCAAAGCUCAUGACCAUAGGUGAGAGUAGGAACGUAGAUUGACUGGUAAAUCGAGAGCUUCGCCUUGCGGCUCAGCUCUUUCUUCACCACGACAGACCGAUAUAUCGACUGCAUUACUGCAGAAGCUGCACCGAUCCGUCUGUCAAUCUCCCGUUCCAUCCUUCCCUCACUUGUGAACAGGACCCCUAGAUACUUAAACUCCUCCACUUGAGGCAGGCACUCUCCACCAACCUGAAGUGGGCAAGCCACCCUUUUCCGACUGAGGACCAUGGCCUCGGAUUUGGAGGUGCUGAUUUUCAUCCCCACCGCUUCACACUCAGCUGCAAACUGUCCCAGUGCAUGCUGAAGGUCCUGGUUAGAAGGGGCCAACACGACAACAUCAUCUGCAAAGAGCAGAGAUGAAAUUGUGUGGUCCCCAAACCUGACACCCUCCGGCCCCUGGCUGCGCCUAGAAAUUCUGUCCAUAAAAAUUACGAACUGGUCCAGUGUUCCACGGCCCGGACGAAAACCACACUGUUCCUCCUGAAUCCGAGGUUCUACUAUCGGCCGUAUUCUCCUCUCCAGAAUUCUGGCAUAGACUUUCCCGGGGAGGCUGAGAAGUGUGAUCCCCCUAUAGUUGGAACACACCCUCCGGUCCCCCUUCUUAAAAAGAGGGACCACCACCCCGCUCAGCCAUCCCAGAGGCACUGUCCCCGACCGCCACACGAUGUUGCACAGGCGUGUCAACCAAGACAGCCCCACAACAUCCAGAGACUUGAGGUACUCAGGGCGGAUCUC
ensembl:lncRNA